UAAGAGCUGAAUUUUGGCCAUAUUGAAUUUACUCCAUGGCAGGACAUAAAUGAGGAGAUGGCAAAGCAAGGCCAGGUUACAGGAUUGGAUGGAGGGAGACGGAGCAGAAGUACAUAAGUAAAUUUGUGCUUACGGCCCACAGCUGCAGGAGCAACAGGGACACUGGCAGCUUUCUUCUGGUGGAUUGCUUUGAAGUUCUUGGUCUCUACCCUCUCCUCUUGUUUGGACAUAGCAGCAGGAGGCUGAAGAGCAGGCUCUGGCUUCCCUGGGGACUGAAAUCUGACAAAGAAACAGGGGCAGACAUCAUGAGAGAGGCUUUGACUGACUUCAUGGGCAGAAGAAAGAAACAGCUGAUCAAAUUUGUCCUCUGCAGCAGUGAUCAAUAAAAGUUGUGUAGGAGAAACAAAUGAGAACAGCACACAGAGACAACGUGAAGACACCAGCGACAGCCUGUGAGGAUCUGCAGAUUUAAAAAAAUGCCUCU